UUGCUGUUAGUUUUUGUUGGGAUUUAAACCCCUCAGACUCUUAAUCAGUAGGUCCUCGGUUCGAUCCCGAGACGGCCCACCA
rnacentral:tRNA from 1 species